AACGAACGCUGGCGGCAGGCUUAACACAUGCAAGUCGAACGAACGUAGCAAUACGUUAGUGGCGCACGGGUGAGUAACACGUGGAUAUCUGCCUUUUGGUUCGGGAUAACCCUGGGAAACUAGGGCUAAUACCGAAUGGUUCCUACGGGAUAAAGAUUUAUCGCCAAAAGAUGAGUCCGCGUCCGAUUAGCUAGUUGGUGGGGUAAUGGCUCACCAAGGCGACGAUCGGUAGCUGGUCUGAGAGGACGAUCAGCCACACUGGGACUGAGACACGGCCCAGACUCCUACGGGAGGCAGCAGUGGGGAAUAUUGGACAAUGGGGGCAACCCUGAUCCAGCCAUGCCGCGUGAGUGAUGAAGGCCUU
rnacentral:rRNA from 1 species